AGGCAGUUAGUCCAAAAAUAAGACCCUUGAUUUCGGCUCAAAAGACCAUGGUUUAAGUCCAUGACCGCCUU
rnacentral:tRNA from 11 species